ACAAAGUUUAUUAGAAAUUUAUACAACAAAAUUUGGAUCACAUGUUUAUUGAAAAUUUCUAAAGCACCCUUUUCUCAUCGUUAAAUAAAUGGACCCAAACAUUAGGAUUUCUUAAGAGUUCAAAUUAUGUAACUAAAUAUAUACUUAGUCGGUAAUGCAGCGACUAUAGAUAAACGAAAUUGAUAAUACCAACGUCUAUACUCAAAUUAUAGCAAAACAUGAAACCACAAUGCUACCUUACUCAAAAUAAUAAUGCAUAAAUACUCAAAGAAAUGUUAAUUUUAUAAUUUCCUUCAAAAUCUUCAAACUCACCAUACGAUUAAACAACACUAUACUAUUAAUCUCAAAAAUUCGUCCGUCACGAAUUUAGUUUGAUCAAAUCUUCAAGAUUAACUUCCAAAAUUUAUUCAGAAUCCGCAUAUAUCUUAAGCAACAAAAUUUUCUAAAAAUUACUAGAAUUCUACAUAUUACACCCUCCCUUAAUCUUCUGCUUAUCUUUAAUUAGAACCAUGUAUUCAUAACGUCCAUAUUUAGCAUGUUUCCAGAUUCAAAGUUUACAGCAAUCCUUGCAGUGAUAACAAGUAAGCCGUGAAGAACCAUAAGAUAAAAUAACUUUAGCAGGAAGUGGUACCACACGGACAAACAUAGCCACAUAGGAAAGUAGAACAAAAGACGAAAGAAGGAAAAAGACCGAGAGAGCUGAAGGAAGUAAAUGAGUAAGUAAGAUAGAGAAAUAGAUAAAGAUAGAAAACAGGCUCGUAACUCCAAUCGAUUUCAGAACGUCCUAUGGUGAAGAAUUCUCCAAGCUCUGACAAUGGUUACUUCCUAAGACGUCAUCCAUUCCGCAUUCCUGAAGGCUUCGGCGGUUUUAUACCUGAGUCGACCCUUUUGAAGUGUCUAUAUUGUCACAAGCUGUUUGGGUUCUGCAGAAAUGAUUAUCUUCAAAUAUCUCCUCGGCUCUCACCAGUUGAGGUUAGGUUGUGGGUCUACCAUAAGAAAGAAUAAAAUCACGACAGUUCUACUAGCCCUCCAGUACAGUCAACGUUAAUUUGGCAAUAAAAAAUCUCCAUUAGAUGUUUAACACUCAAGAAUUCAUACUGAAGGAUAAACUCUAAAAAACGAAAGUAUCUGCGUAUCUAGGCGUGGGAAAUGGAUUAAAGAUUUAUGGAAGAUAAACAUUGAUUUUAACAUAUGAGAAAUCUUGGAGUAUGUUUGGCGAAGUGCCUCGCGGGUCAUCAAGCUCCUGCCAGAAGAGGUUAUGUGAGGAUGGUGGGGCUGGCCGAGCGGAAGGAGGGACGCACGUCUAUCGAUGACCCUUGAUUCUGUAAUAGCUGACAAUCCUCUAUUUUUACUCAUUUUUUAUACUGUCUAUACAGGGUGUCCCAAAAUUACCUGACCAACGGGGUAUG